UACGGGGGGGGCAAGCGUUGUUCGGAAUUACUGGGCGUAAAGGGCUCGUAGGUGGCCAACUAAGUCAGACGUGAAAUCCCCAGGCUCAACUUGGGAACUGCGUCUGAUACUGGAUGGCUUGAAUUCGGGAGAGGGAUGCAGAAUUCCAGGUGUAGCGGUGAAAUGCGUAGAUAUCAGGAGGAACACCGGUGGCGAAGGCGGUUCUCUGGGCCGAUACUGACGCUGAGGAGCGAAAGCGUGGGGAGCGAACAGG
rnacentral:rRNA from 1 species